CGUGAGUUAACUAAGAACUUUCGUCAAAUUGUGAAUUUGAGAGCAAGCUAAGUGAAAAACUAGCUUUGGACUAGAAGCAGCAGGAGUGAAGGAUUCCUUACUGGACUUGAGAUGAUGUUUCAGGUAAAGUUGAAGAAGUUUAGUGCGAGGAUGCGAUGUGAAAACCUCUAUGGGAUUUUAGAACAUGUAUUUUAAAUUGUGAAAUGUGUG
rnacentral:sRNA from 1 species